GCAUAUCAAUAAGCGGAGGAAAAGAAACCAACCGGGAUUGCCCCAGUAACGGCGAGUGAAGCGGCAACAGCUCAAAUUUGAAAUCUGGAGCUCCUUGGGCUUCCGAGUUGUAAUUUGCAGAGGGAGCCUCGGAGGGCGCGCCGGUCCAAGUGCCUUGGAACAGGAUACCGCAGAGGGUGAGAGUCCCGUAUCCGGCCGGUGGUGCGCUCCGUGUGAGGCCUCUUCGACGAGUCGAGUUGUUUGGGAAUGCAGCUCCAAGCGGGUGGUAAAUUCCAUCUAAAGCUAAAUACUGGCCAGAGACCGAUAGCGAACAAGUAGAGUGAUCGAAAGAUGAAAAGCACUUUGAAAAGAGAGUCAAACAGUACGUGAAAUUGUUGAAAGGGAAGCGCAUGGGGGCAGACUUGGCCGCGGCGUUCAGGGUGCGUUCUCGCGCCUGCACUUCGCUGCGGACAGGCCAGCAUCGGUUCCGGGGGCCGGAGAAAGGCGCUGGGAAGGUGGCAGCCUUCGGGGUGUGUUAUAGCCCGGCGCGCAAUGCGACCACCUGGGACCGAGGACCGCGCUUCGGCAAGGAUGCUGGCGUAAUGGCCUCAUGCGGCCCGUCUGGAAAACACGGACC
rnacentral:rRNA from 2 species